rnacentral:rRNA from 1 species
AUUGAACGCUGGCGGCAGGCCUAACACAUGCAAGUCGAGCGGGGUUUUCGGACCUAGCGGCGGACGGGUGAGUAAUGCGUAGGAAGCUGCCCGAUAGAGGGGGAUACCAGUUGGAAACGACUGUUAAUACCGCAUAAUAUCUACGGACCAAAGUGUGGGACCUUCGGGCCACAUGCUAUCGGAUGCGCCUACGUGGGAUU